rnacentral:rRNA from 1 species
UGGGAACGUACCCUUUGGUUCGGAACAACCCAGGGAAACUUGAGCUAAUACCGGAUAAGUCCGUAAGGAGAAAGAUUUAUCGCCGAAGGAGCGGCCCGCGUCCGAUUAGCUAGUUGGUGGGGUAAUGGCCCACCAAGGCAACGACGGGUAGCUGGUCUGAGAGGAUGGCCAGCCACAUUGGGACUGAGAUACGGCCCAGACUCCUACGGGAGGCAG